rnacentral:rRNA from 1 species
GAUGAACGCUGGCGGCGUGCUUAACACAUGCAAGUCGAACGGUGAAGCAGAGCUUGCUCUGUGGAUCAGUGGCGAACGGGUGAGUAACACGUGAGCAACCUGCCCCGGACUCUGGGAUAAGCGCUGGAAACGGCGUCUAAUACCGGAUACGAGAUUCCACCGCAUGGUGAGUUUCUGGAAAGAUUUUUUGGUCUGGGAUGGGCUCACGGCCUAUCAGCUUGUUGGUGAGGUAAUGGCUCACCAAGGCGUCGACGGGUAGCCGGCCUGAGAGGGUGACCGGCCACACUGGGACUGAGACACGGCCCAGACUCCUACGGGAGGCAGCAGUGGGGAAUAUUGCACAAUGGGCGGAAGCCUGAUGCAGCAACGCCGCGUGAGGGAUGACGGCCUUCGGGUUGUAAACCUCUUUUAGCAGGGAAGAAGCGAAAGUGACGGUACCUGCAGAAAAAGCGCCGGCUAACUACGUGCCAGCAGCCGCCGUAAAAC